GUUGUAUAGUCAAGUAAUUAAGUGCAUGUGGUGGAUGCCUUGGCAGUCAGAGGCGAUGAAAGACGUGAUAGCCUGCGAAAAGCUCCGGGGAGGCGGCAAAUAUCCUUUGAUCCGGAGAUGUCUGAAUGGGGGAACCCACCUACUUUAAGGUAGGUAUUGCAACAUGAAUACAUAGUGUUGCAAGGCGAACGAGGGGAAGUGAAACAUCUCAGUACCCUUAGGAAAAGAAAUCAAUUGAGAUUCCCUCAGUAGCGGCGAGCGAACGGGGGUCAGCCCAUUAAGUUAUGUGUGUUUUAGUGGAACGCUCUGGGAAGUGCGAACGU
rnacentral:rRNA from 1 species